GGGAUGAUUGGAAUGGUUCCUAAUGAAUUUUUGUACCAUUUAUGUUAUCUUAAGGUUUUUGGUGGCUUUGAAAGCAUUAUAGUUCAUUUCAGUUGAUAUCUUUUGACCCGUGCAACCGAUGGCAAAUUGUAUUGUGCUAGUAAAUCUGGAACAUCAAUUUUAGAGUAGAAACAUGGUUGGUGUAGUUUUAUGGAUUUUAAAUCAUAUUUCGACUCAGUUUGAAAAGUUGUGAUUUUGUGUUUUGGGUGUAAACUUUGUGGAAAUGACAUCUUUUAUAAAAUCUGAUAUCUCUAUUAAGUUUGGAUCAUCGAAUUUAAUAAGGUAGCAUAGCUUAUUUGUGUUGAAAGAAUUUUGAAUGAAUUCCAAGGGGAUCGUGGAGACUUGGAAAUACACCAAAUCCCCAGCUGGUGCCCCAGCGACCACGAUGCUUCUGUUGCGAUCAUGAUUGGUCCUCAAAAUAUAGUGUCAUAAUCUUGAUACCCCUUUCGUACUUGCAAUAUCGUUGAUAGGCUGGUUCUCGCUAUUUUUAACAAUUUCUGAGACUUGGAGUUUAGCAUUUCGUGAUUUUGAGAUAUUUCCUCUAAUUCUAAUCUUGGGUCAUCUCCAUAACACCUAUUUAUAUUAUUUUCUUCAAUCUGUAUCAUCUAAUUUUUAUUUUAAACUUGAAUAAUGUAUGUAAUUUGGGGAUUUUGGCCCGAAAGGCCUAAUAAUUGUAAUUCUUGAAUUUAAACCCCAAUUUCUACCAUUUUCACUAGGAUGAGUUUCUAUCAUCAUAAAUAUCAGUUUUUCCUACAUUUCAUCUUCAAAACAACUUCGAUGUUCGAUUUAGAAAUGGAUUUUGGUAAUUGUUAGCCAGUAAAGAAAGAAAAUGUUUUUUUUAUUUGGAACUCAUUUUUAACUUGAUUUUAUUUGGCUUUUCAGCUAUAGACUCCUAAAAAUAUGAGGAAAUUUUUUUUUGAAAUAAAGUUAUGAUGUUUCCCUUCAUUUUCAAAAUCUAUAAUGCAUAAAUUCUAUUUUCCAUAUUUUAAUCAAUUCUUGGUUAUUUUGUGAGAAACAAGUCUUUAGGAUUGAAGUGCUGCAAACCCAUUUUUUGCAUUCGAGGUAGGUUAUGGCUUAACUUCUUCCAAACUCGGUUGGGUAGUUAAUGCUGACCCAAAAACAUGUUAAGGGUGUGGGAACUAAUCUUGAAAAUUAUUAUCUUAAUGUGUUGUGCUCGUGUGGGGGCCUAUAUGUGAUGUUAUAGGGUUGUUUUGGAACAUUUUAUGCUAUGUGUGACAGUGUGGGGGUCCUAUGUGAUAUUGAUAGCCUUGUAUACAUCAUGAUAAUUGUAUCUUAUUUAAUGAAAAAAUGUGUUGUGGUACCAGUUGUGUGUUGGGAUAUAUUCAUACUCUAUUGGCAUAUGACUCAUGUUGGAUUUCAUGGACUAUUGAAAAUAAUGUGUGAAUAUUUGGCUCAUGUGAUGGUAUAUUUGUUUCUUAAGAAACUACUCAUUGUGGUUGGUUAUGGAAAUGCUCAUUAUUUUUCGUUGUAAGCAUUACACCCUCAUACUUAUUCAACAAAUAUUGGUACCACCGUGAAAAUACUGAGAAACAUUAGGAACACUUCUUUUUGACAAAAAAUAUGGCAUAUUAUAAAACACUUUUAGUGGGAUGUGCCAAGAAAGAGAUAUGGAUAUAUGUUUAAUGUAUAUUGUUUAAUGAAUCUAUCAUGGGUUCUAUGUCUUGUAUCUUUUGAUUCACAGGUGUAUAUGAAGAUU
rnacentral:lncRNA from 1 species